UGGCUUAGAGGGUAAAGUUUCUGCCUGCAGGGCAGAAUACCUGGGUUCGAUCCCUG
rnacentral:tRNA from 1 species